rnacentral:lncRNA from 1 species
GCACAAUCACGGCAAACCUCUGGGGCACAAGGCAAUCUGUUUGAAGAAGGCGUCGGAUAGACCUGUCACAGAUAAAACAAGAAUUUCUCGCUUCAACAGAAGGCUCACGAAUGAAGAAAAGCUGGCACCGAUAUAUACUCGGAGCCUGAGGACUUAGCACGGGGCAGAGCUACACUAGACUCUAAGCUAAUGGUGUCAGAUUUCUAAAAGAUAUUCACAGAAAAGGAAAGAAAGGAGAUGUCCAGAUAAUGAUGACAAGAAAGUAAAGGCGGCAGAGGACAAGAAGAAUAGAGAAAAGACAGAAAGAGGAAAGAGCAG